rnacentral:ribozyme from 1 species
AGACCGUCACGACGCAAUCUAUUCAGAUUGUGUGUCUUCCGGUCAAAAAGGCAAAGAAGAACCCUCAUUCUUCUAUGAAGAAAAACAGACAGACAGACAGACGUGACAAGAGGAUGAUGGCGGGCUUGCGAGCAAAACAAAAAACGGCAGCAGCAAC